ACAGAAGCAAUUAAUAAAGUCAACAGAGGACUGAGAAAGAUCUUUACAACAGCUGAAGGAGAAGAAUACACAGGCACAGAAUACAUGCAUUGUAAAUGCCAGUUGUGUGAAAACAAAAUUGGUGUAAUAUGUAGCUGGAUAUAGUCAGGCUGGCAUAAAGAAUCAAAAAGACUUUCCUGGAAGUUUAAUCAUGUUGCAACAUAACAAAAAGAGAACAAUUGGAAAGUCAAUUGUCAAAAAUAAGACGGCUUCAAGCUCUGCAAAAACACAGGGAAAGUACAAAUGGGCAUGCAAAUGGAUGCUUCUGACGCCUUGACCAUGUCCUGUGGGUCCAGGAGCCCUUCUUUCCUGACUGUUGAUCCUGCUCCGUUAUCAAAUUGACUCUUUUUGCCUCAUUUCACCCUACUUCCUCUAACCUUCCUCAUUUUGUUGGU
rnacentral:lncRNA from 1 species